rnacentral:rRNA from 1 species
CCUACGGGAGGCAGCAGUGGGGAAUUUUGGACAAUGGGCGCAAGCCUGAUCCAGCCAUGCCGCGUGAGUGAAGAAGGCCUUCGGGUUGUAAAGCUCUUUCAGCCGGGAAGAAAAGGUUGUGAUUAAUAAUCACAAUUCAUGACG